rnacentral:lncRNA from 1 species
UGUACUGUCUUCAACCAUUCCCUUAUUCCUCAACCACCGUGUCCUAUGCGACAACAGCCUCAAGCAAUGACACGUUGCCUGCAACUCGAAUAUGAUUAUAGCUAAAGCUAGUUCAAGAUUAAAGACAGCAAAAUGAGAAGGUACAUUUGUUGCUUCCAGUGUAUAGACCGGGAAUGAAUAUGCACUGAUCCAGAUCAGUUCAACAGAUAGUAGGUUGUACAUCCUGUUUGACAUCCAAGCACUUCUUGAUGUGCCCACGCCAGCCCGAGGAGGUUGUGAGCUCUCCUAUUGCCUGCAUUACGUGUGUACUCAUAAAUUUAAAAACAGCUUGCUAAAAGCUCAUAUCACUUUCAGAAUAAAACUUUGUAAAGCAGAGUUUGAUAACAAAACCAUGAGGUGAACCAGGAUUUUUGAUAAAUAUAAAAUCAAGAGGCCAUGUUAUACUCCAACAACCUAUAUUACAAAAUCAUCAGUUUUAUCAUCAUAAUGUGAACAUGGAAUCAAUAUCAUUGAUUACAUAAUAGAUGCAUUGUUUUUGGCAGUGCGAUUGCAAACCUGCCGCUAUAUAUCCAUUUAGGCUGGCAGCUCUCCUAUUGCCUGCAUUAUCUGUGCUAGAAGGCUGCUUUAAAAUUGAAGCAAGAAGCGUUAAAAUAAAAAUGCAAUACAAACAAUUCAUUACUAAAAAAUGGAAUGAAUAUGAUUGUCAUCAUCCCUGAUGAUGAGAAGGUACCAAAUAGAAGAGCGCUAUAUCUAUAUGGCAACACUGAAAAAUAGGGACAGAAGCAAUGUUAAUAAGUGAGUGGCUGUCCCAACUCACUAUAAUUUGUGUUCUCCUCUACAGUAGCAUGAUCAGGUAUUAUGAUCAGUGUGAAGAAAGAAAAAUAUUUUUGAAUUAUGGUGUGGGUCUUAAGAAAAUUAUGUGAAAAGAAUGUAAUAAGAACUAUAUAUAUGCCCACGAGGCUCAAGCAAUACAUCAUUAUCGAUUCCACCAAUCCCUCUCUAUCUCUUCUAACAAAUGGGACUAUGGGAGUCUCGGAGUGGUGGACACGAUGAUUUCAUCAACAUCUAAGGUUCAAAGUGUAGACGAACUGGAACAGUCCUUUCUAGAUUAACAGACUCGAUUAUAUAAGUUUUCUCAUUUUAAAUAUUUUCCUUUCGGGUCUGUUAAUCUAGAAAGGAUAUGUAUCCUUUUCUUCUAUAGCAUUGUCCACGUAGGAUUAGGAACAGUGCCUCAUAUCAAGCGCGAGUGGAUUGUCCGUUCUGCCGAAUAGCCGAACGAGAGACAAAAGGAGAGAAAUGGAGCGCCCAGCCCCAGCCCCUGUUCCCCAUUCCCUAUUCCCCCACCCCUGAUUCCUCCCCCUCUCCCUCUCCCUCCUCUGCCAAUAUUGACACAAACUACUAAUACCAUAGGAUGUUAUAUGAUCAUUAGGUGAAAUUUAUUAUAUUCAUGUAGUUUCUUUCCCUACACUGAAGCAGAUAUCGGCAUCAGAAACACAAAUCAUGAUCUCAAGAGGCUGUCAAUGAGACGACAGGGGAUGACGCGCUAGAAUCAUACCUUUCAUGCGACCAACAACGGGACGAAUUGUUAGAUCAUAUAGAAAAUGGCAGC